rnacentral:rRNA from 1 species
UGGCUCAGGAUGAACGCUAGCGGCAGGCCUAAUACAUGCAAGUCGAACGGUYYSUAGCAAUAGRRAUAGUGGCGCACGGGUGCGUAACGCGUAACCAACCUACCUGAAUYUGGGGGAUAGCCCGCCGAAAGGCGGAUUAAUACCGCAUAAAACYRCAGMWYGGCAUCAAGUAACAGUUAAAGAUUUAUUGGAUUCAGAUGGGGUUGCGUGCCAUUAGCUAGUUGGGGAGGUAACGGCUCACCAAGGCGACGAUGGCUAGGGGAGCUGAGAGGCUGGUCCCCCACACGGGCACUGAGAUACGGGCCCGACUCCUACGGGAGGCAGCAGUAGGGAAUAUUGGGCAAUGGACGAGAGUCUGACCCAGCCAUGCCGCGUGCAGGAUGAAGGCUUUCUGAGUCGUAAACUGCUUUUAUCAGGGAAGAAAAA